UACGGAGGAGGCAAGCGUUAUCCGGAAUUAUUGGGCGUAAAGCGUCCACAGGUGGCAAUUCAAGUCUGUGGUUAAAGACUGGGGCUUAACCCUGGAAAGGCCAUGGAAACUGAAUAGCUAGAGUGCAGUAGGGGUAGAGGGAAUUCCCGGUGUAGCGGUGAAAUGCGUAGAGCUCGGGAAGAACAUCGGUGGCGAAAGCGCUCUGCUGGACUGCAACUGACACUCAGGGACGAAAGCUAGGGGAGCGAAUGGG
rnacentral:rRNA from 1 species